UAUACAUGGAAAAGAAUGAAAAAGUGUAUAUCAGGAUACAUCUCAAAUUCGAAUAAAUUAUUUUAUCAACCAUGUCAGUCUAUUUAUUCCAUUAUGUUUCAAGUCAAUAUCGUUCAAAAGUGACACAAUAUCAGAAUAACACACAUUGAAAUACAUGUCUUCCCAUAUAGGCUACAAUAUAGUGAAAAAUAUAUAUAUUGAA